rnacentral:tRNA from 1 species
UCAGGAUAGCUCAGUUGGUAGAGCAGAGGACUGAAAUUC